rnacentral:rRNA from 1 species
GAUGAACGCUGGCGGCGUGCUUAACACAUGCAAGUCGAUCGGUGAACACGGAGCUUGCUCUGUGGGAUCAGUGGCGAACGGGUGAGUAACACGUGAGCAACCUGCCCCUGACUCUGGGAUAAGCGCUGGAAACGGCGUCUACUACUGGAUAUGUGACGUGACCGCAUGGUGUGCGUUUGGAAAGAUUUUUCGGUUGGGGAUGGGCUCGCGGCCUAUCAGCUUGUUGGUGAGGUACUGGCUCACCAAGGCGUCGAGGGGUAUCCGGCCUGAGAGGGUGACCGGCCACACUGGGACUGAGACACGGCCCAGACUCCUACGGGAGGCAGCAGUGGGGAAUAUUGCACAAUGGGCGCAAGCCUGAUGCAGCAACGCCGCGUGAGGGAUGACGGCCUUCGGGUUGUAAACCUCUUUUAGCAGGGAAGAAGCGAAAGUGACGGUACCUGCAGAAAAAGCGCCGGCUAACUACGUG